CAGGACGAACGCUGGCGGCGUGCUUAACACAUGCAAGUCGAACGGAGAUACAUUGGAGGAGAGCUUCGGCAGGAAUCUGGCGUAUCUUAGUGGCGGACGGGUGAGUAACGCGUGAGCAACCUGUCCCAGACAGGGGGAUAACACUUGGAAACAGGUGCUAAUACCGCAUAAGACCACGGUGUCACAUGGCACUGAGGUAAAAGGAGAAAUCCGGUUUGGGGUGGGCUCGCGUCCGAUUAGAUAGUUGGUGAGGUAACGGCCCACCAAGUCGACGAUCGGUAGCCGACCUGAGAGGGUGAUCGGCCACAUUGGAACUGAGAGACGGUCCAAACUCCUACGGGAGGCAGCAGUGGGGAAUAUUGGGCAAUGGGGCCGAAAGCCUGACCCAGCAACGCCGCGUGAGUGAAGAAGGCUUUCGGGUUGUAAAGCUCUGUUAUAGGGGACGAAGGAAGUGACGGUACCCUAUAAGGAAGCCCCGGCUAACUACGUGCCAGCCGCCGC
rnacentral:rRNA from 1 species